rnacentral:rRNA from 1 species
UUUGCUAUCACUUAUAGAUGGAUCCGCGCCGUAUUAGCUAGUUGGUAAGGUAACGGCUUACCAAGGCAACGAUACGUAGCCGACCUGAGAGGGUGAUCGGCCACACUGGAACUGAGACACGGUCCAGACUCCUACGGGAGGCAGCAGUAGGGAAUCUUCCGCAAUGGGCGAAAGCCUGACGGAGCAACGCCGCGUGAGUGAUGAAGGUCUUCGGAUCGUAAAACUCUGUUAUUAGGGAAGAACAUACGUGUAAGUAACUAUGCACGUCUUGACGGUACCUAAUCAGAAAGCCACGGCUAACUACGUGCCAGCAGCCGCGGUAAUACGUAGGUGGCAAGCGUUAUCCGGAAUUAUUGGGCGUAAAGCGCGCGUAGGCGGUUUUUUAAGUCUGAUGUGAAAUCCCACGGCUCAACCGUGGAG